AUUGAACGCUGGCGGCAGGCCUAACACAUGCAAGUCGAGCGGUAGCACAGAGAGCUUGCUCUCGGGUGACGAGCGGCGGACGGGUGAGUAAUGUCUGGGAAACUGCCUGAUGGAGGGGGAUAACUACUGGAAACGGUAGCUAAUACCGCAUAACGUCGCAAGGCCAAAGUGGGGGACCUUCGGGCCUCAUGCCAUCAGAUGUGCCCAGAUGGGAUUAGCUGGUAGGGGGGGUAACGGCUCACCUAGGCGACGAUCCCUAGCUGGUCUGAGAGGAUGACCAGCCACACGGGAGCGGAGACACGGUCCAGACUCCUACGGGAGGCAGCAGUGGGGAAUAUUGCACAAUGGGCGCAAGCCUGAUGCAGCCAUGCCGCGUGUGUGAAGAAGGCCUUCGGGUUGUAAAGCACUUUCAGCGGGGAGGAAGGCGGUGAGGUUAAUAACCUCAUCGAUUGACGUUACCCGCAGAAGAAGCACCGGCUAACUCCGUGCCAGCAGCCGCCGUAACAC
rnacentral:rRNA from 1 species